rnacentral:lncRNA from 1 species
AUGGUUGGCACGUGGCACAGCCACAGCGUGUGCCAGCACCGAGUCCUUGCCAUGCCUGCGUGGCCACGAGCCACAGCUGGGCUCUGUGCCAUCAGCACGAGGUUGCCAGGCUCGGUGGCCACGUGCCACAGCCACCCUGUGUGCCACUGCCGUGUUGUUGCCGUGCCCACGUGGCCAUGUGCCACAUCUGGGCCCUGUGCCAUCAGCACGAGGUUGCCAUGCUUGGUGGCCACGUGCCACAUCCACACUGUAUGCCAUCACCACAUUCUGGCUGUUGCCCUCAUGGCCACGAGCCACAUCUGUGCCCUGUGCCACUGCCAUGCUCCUGCCAUGCUUGGUGGCCACUUGCCACACCUUUGCCCCUGUGCCAUCACCACGAGGUUGCCAUGCUCAGUGGCCACGUGCCACAUCUGUGCCCUCUGCCAUCACUACAUUCCAGCUGUGCCCGCGUGGCCACGAGCCACAUCUGGGCCCUGUGCCAUCACCACGAGGUUGCCAGGCUUGGUGGCCACGUGCCACAGCCACCCUGUGUGCCACUGCCGUGUUGUUGCCAUGCCCACGUGGCCACGUGCCACAUCUGGGCCCUGUGCCAUCAGCACGAGGUUGCCAUGUUUGGUGGCCACGUGCCACAUCUGUGCCCUGUGCCAUCACCACGUGUUGUUGCCAUGCUUGGUGGCCACGUGCCACAGCCACCCCGUGUGCCAUCACCACAUUCUGGCUGUGCUCACAUGGCCACGAGCCACAGCUGGGCCCUCUGCCACCUCGUUGCUGCCAUGCUCAGUGACCACGUGCCACAUCUGUGCCCUGUGCCAUCACCACGAGGUUGCCAUGCUUGGUGGCCACGUGCCACAUCCACACUGUGUGCCAUCACCACAUUCUGGCUGUGCCCACGUGGCCACAAGUCACAUCCAUGCCCUGUGCCAUCUCCAUUCUGAUGCCAUGCUCGGUGGCCACGUGCCACAUCUGUGCCCUGUGCCAUCACCACGUGUUGUUGCCAUGCUUGGUGGCCACGUGCCACAUCCACCCCGUGUGCCAUCGCCACAUUCUGGCUGUGCUCACAUGGCCACGAGCCACAGCUGGGCCCUGUGCCAUCACCACGAGGUUGCCAUGUUUGGUGGCCACGUGCCAC